rnacentral:rRNA from 1 species
ACUCCUACGGGAGGCAGCAGUGGGGAAUAUUGCACAGUGGGCGCAAGCCUGAUGCAGCCAUGCCGCGUGUAUGAAGAAGGCCUUCGGGUUGUAAAGCUCUUUCAAUAGUGAAGAUAAUGACGGUAGCUAUAGAAGAAGCUCCGGCUAAAUUCGUGCCAGCAGCCGCGGUAAU